rnacentral:misc_RNA from 1 species
UUGAAUGUCGCCUCGAUGGGUUGUAGCUGGCUCCAAAACAGAGCAUGUGCACGCCUGUCUUGACUUCUAUUCAUCCACCUGUGCACCUUUUGUAGUCUUUUUGGGGGCUGGGGAAAUGGCAGCUUAGGUUGUCAGUUGAACCUCCCACUGAAGUCUAUGUUUAUUUCAUAUACCAUGUAGUAUGUUACAGAAUGUUGUCAAUGGGCACUUGUGCCUAUAUAAAAUCUAUA